CUUCCUUCGUCGUUCUUGCUACUACUAACUACCACGGCGCGUUUAAAACUUUAACGCGUCAACAGGCUUCUUACAAAACCUCUAAAUAUUUAUCCGCCGAAACACAGUGUGGAAGGGAAGGGCCUCCCCGGUUGGCCUCUUCAAACACAAACUCAGUGGCUGUAACUCAAAGCCGGGCACCGUGGCAGGAUUCACGUGGCAUUAAGGAUUCAUUUUGAAGUUCGUGUUUACGCCGUUCGGUUUGUUAGCGUGGCGUCUCCGAGCAGGCGCCCCCCCGCUGGGAUGAUAGGGAAGCAUCUGCCUUCACAAGAUGGAGCCUAACAGAGACGGAGCCUACUGUAUGGUGUUCGGAUGCACUCUGGAGUGUUGAGGUGGGGGGGGGGGGAAACUCCCCUUGUUUGUGAACCAACCCGGAGCUGGAAUCGUCCACACCUGGCUGUGAAAUGGACUCGGAUGUAUGAGGGGGAUUGUGCCUGAGCGAACGGAUUGUGCUAACAAAGAGCUGCCUGGUUUAAUGGCUUUCAUUUGAAUUUCUGCUCCUUUCGUUAGGAAGCGCUGACAUUUUCAGGGAAAACCGAGAGCCAUUAUCGCUGACUAACCUUUAAAAAGAAGAGCGAUGUGUCUUUCCUGAAGAGACAAAGCUCCAGAAAAAAAGGUCAAUUUAAGAAAUGAUUUUCUUAAGUUUGAAGUAAAAGGCAGCUGCAAAAAAAAAAAAAAAAAAAAAAA